rnacentral:rRNA from 1 species
ACACGACCGGCAAUGGAUAUCUCGGCUCUCGCAUCGAUGAAGAGCGCAGCGAAAUGCGAUACGUGGUGCAAAUUGCAGAAUCCCGCGAACCAUCGAAUUGCUGAACGCAAGUUGCGCCCGAGGCCAACCAGCCGAGGGCACGUCCGCCUGGGCGUCAAGC